AUUUAUGGCCAUACCACCAUGAAGGCACCUGACCUUGUCUGGUCUCAGAAACUAAGCAGGGUCAGGCCUGGUUAGUUCUUGGAUGGGAGAAUACUUAUUAUUUCACAUGUAAGGCUAUUGUCCAUCCUGAAUU
ensembl:rRNA 5S_rRNA 5S ribosomal RNA